rnacentral:rRNA from 1 species
UUGGAGGGCAAGUCUGGUGCCAGCAGCCGCGGUAAUUCCAGCUCCAAUAGCGUAUAUUAAAGUUGUUGCAGUUAAAAAGCUCGUAGUUGAAUUUCGGGAUCAAUAUGCCGGUCAUGCCUUGGUAUGCACUGGUAUCUUUGAUUUCUCCCUUCUGACGAACUUUGAUGUCAUUAAUUUGGUGUCAUAGGGAAUCAGGACUGUUACUUUGAAAAAAUUAGAGUGUAUAGAGCAAGCUCACGCUUGAAUACAUUAGCAUGGAAUAAUGAAAUAGGACGUUUGAUUCUAUUUUGUUGGUUUCUAGGAUCGACGUAAUGAUUAAUAGGGAUAGUUGGGGGCAUUAGUAUUUAAUUGUCAGAGGUGAAAUUCUCGGAUUUGUUAAAGACUAACUUAUGCGAAAGCAUUUGCCAAGGAUGUUUUCAUUAAUCAAGAACGAAAGUUAGGGGAUCAAAGACGAUCAGAUACCGUCGUAGUCUUAACCAUAAACUAUGCCGACUAGGGAUCGGAUGAUGUUAAUUUUUUAAUGACUCAUUCGGCGCCUUACGGGAAAC